UUGAACGCUGGCGGCAUGCCUUACACAUGCAAGUCGAACGGCAGCACGGGAGCAAUCCUGGUGGCGAGUGGCGAACGGGUGAGUAAUAUAUCGGAACGUGCCCGGUCGUGGGGGAUAACGUAGCGAAAGCUACGCUAAUACCGCAUACGAUCUAUGGAUGAAAGCGGGGGAUCGCAAGACCUCGCGCGAUUGGAGCGGCCGAUAUCAGAUUAGGUAGUUGGUGAGGUAAAGGCUCACCAAGCCGACGAUCGGUAGCUGGUCUGAGAGGACGACCAGCCACACUGGGACUGAGACACGGCCCAGACUCCUACGGGAGGCAGCAGUGGGGAAUUUUGGACAAUGGGCGCAAGCCUGAUCCAGCAAUGCCGCGUGCAGGAUGAAGGCCUUCGGGUUGUAAACUGCUUUGUACGGAACGAAACGGUGAGCUCUAAUACAGUUUGCUAAUGACGGUACCGUAAGAAUAAGCACCGGCUAACUACGUG
rnacentral:rRNA from 1 species